AUGACGGGCGGAGGGGAGGAGGCGGCGACGUGCUCGGUUUGCCUCGGCGCGCUGCAGCUAGGAGACACGGUGCGGCUGCUGCCGACGUGCCCGCACGUGUACCACGCGGAGUGCAUCGACCCGUGGCUAGGCGCGCGCUCGACGUGCCCGAUCUGCCGCUCGGACACGAACCCGGCCACGGGCGUUGGCCAGCUACCACCUGCUUAG
rnacentral:rRNA from 1 species